UAGAGUUUGAUCCUGGCUCAGGAUGACCGCUGGCGGCGUGCCUAAUACAUGCAAGUCGAGCGGCAGCACGGUCUUCGGACUGGUGGCGAGCGGCGGACGGCUGAGUAACGCGUAGGAAUAUACCCCAAAGUGAGGGAUAACUGCCCGAAAAGGUGGCUAAUACCGCAUGUGGUCUUCGGACUAAAGCCUUCGGGCGCUAUGGGAAUAGCCUGCGUAAGAUUAGCUAGUUGGUGAGGUAAUGGCUCACCAAGGCGACGAUCUUUAGCUGGUCUGAGAGGAUGACCAGCCAGACUGGAACUGAGACACGGUCCAGACUCCUACGGGAGGCAGCAGUAGGGAAUUUUCCACAAUGGGCGAAAGCCUGAUGGAGCAACGCCGCGUGCAGGAUGAAGGCCCUCGGGUCGUAAACUGCUUUUAUGUGCGAAGAAUAUGACGGUAACACAUGAAUAAGGGUCGGCUAACUACGUGCCAGCAGCCGCGGUAAUA
rnacentral:rRNA from 1 species